ACAUUCCGAAGUUCUGUGAAAAGAGGCACUAGCGCUCAGCCACGCAAGGCAGGAAAACAGAGGAAGUUUUCGCAUUCUGACUGCAGCCUGAGUUCCCCGGAGCAAGGCUGCUUCUCUCCACCCACUCCUCACCAAGAACUCCUGAACUUGAGAGUGGACGACUUCAAAGCUAGCUCUCACAGACUCACCUGGAAAAGAGUUCAGCUGCGCGUUCAUUGAACCGAGAGGCCAGAUCACCUAUGUGAGGCGGUGGGAACCAUAUGGAGAUUUAUAUUAGAACUUCAGCAAAGUGCACAGCUGCAGCCGGCAGAAGCCAGCUCUCGGGCUGACAGGCAAAUGAACCAGAUCGUGGACGGGGCCUCUGGGUGGCAGCUCCGGCCUUUUGGUUGUUGGACAACUAUAGUCAGAACUGAAAUGGAACAGGGGCAGGAGAAAUAACACACUUUUACUCCACGCAACUGUUGCUUUCACAUGAUCUUCAGGAAUGUAACUGGGAUAAUUGUCCAAAUUGAAUCCCAUACCCUGUCAUGGUACUGAUUAUUAAGGUGACUAUAUGAAAGGAUCACUCCAAAAUAACACAUACCAGAAUAGGAGUCCUGUCUUAACUGAGCAAUAUACACUAUGGAGAGAUCCUUCAAAACCCGUCGGGACGAAUAACAGAUGAAUUCAUAAAACUGUUCAUCUCUGUUAUCCUGAAUGGUCACUCAGACAACAUUUUACUCAACUAUAAAGGCAUUUGAACUGGUCGGACAGGACGACAGAGCAGUGAGCAUGAGAUCAUUGCAGCCGAGUAGCAAACUGGCACCCAGCCUUUUCACCCCUUCGGUUCGGGAGACGAACGUGUGCAGUCCUCGUUUCUCAAGUCAGCCUGGAAGGAUUCCGGGACUCUCCCACCUUCUACCAUUCUGCUGCCAGUCGGUGGCAACGAUUGGUGCAGAUUCUGCGCAGUGCUUUGUGCCUGGAAUAUGGAGAAGGAAGAGAAUGAAGACAAGCCCUCUGGACCUCCUUCUCUGAGAAAUACCGGGAGCCCAGAAG
rnacentral:lncRNA from 1 species